GUGCAGUGUUCUGCUGGGGAACCUUGAUUCUUGGCAUCCAUGUAGAAGUUACAUUGACAUGUACCACCUACCUUCACAUUGGUGCUGACCAAGUACACACCCACCAGCCCUCCCAGACUGCCCUGGGCUCCUCUAACAGGACAACACACCCAACCACACAUCUGAAACUACUCAGGGAUUGCUUCGGGAACAAAACAAAGAGCUCAAAGCAUUGAUCCAACCUCCAAAUUCCCUAAAUCCCAAGUUGACUGAAGAUCAAUGGGAUGUGCCAGAACAAGCCUCAUCCACCCUCAAGACCCAAAGGAUCCACUGAGCCUACACAAUGUUAAACUAGUGGUUUUAAUGUUGUGAUUAACAGGUUCUGUACCACUUGUACCUUUCCACACUCUUACCUCUCGAACAGAGUAGGGCUCCACUGGCCAAGGCCACCUGCAGAGCCUGUGCCAGCCGGUCGAGAGCCAGCUGGGGCAAUACAUGUGUAUCAGCAGGCGAUGUGUGUGUGUGUUUGUCAGCCUGGUCCAACAAUCGGGAGAGAUCGGAGGUCAGAGCGGCCACAGACUCCAUCUGAAGCAGCGCCAGGCGACCGUAAAGCCCCUUCUCAUUGAGUAUGUUGGGCAAAAGCAUGAAGACCUAAAAGCAUCAAAAGAUGGAAAGCGAUUAAACAUUAACUCUGUA